rnacentral:rRNA from 1 species
GGGUCAGUAGGUUGGUCGUGCCACCGGUACGUACUGGUCUCACUGAUUCCUCCUUCCUGAAGAACCGUAAUGCCAUUAAUUUGGUGUUGCGGGGAAACAGGACUGUUACUUUGAAAAAAUUAGAGUGCUUAAAGCAAGCUAACGCUUGAAUACAUUAGCAUGGAAUAAUGAAAUAGGACGAUCGAUCCUAUUUUGCUGGUUUCUAGGAUUGACGUA